rnacentral:rRNA from 1 species
AUUGAACGCUGGCGGAAUGCUUUACACAUGCAAGUCGAACGGCAGCACGGACUUCGGUCUGGUGGCGAGUGGCGAACGGGUGAGUAAUAUAUCGGAACGUGCCCAGUCGUGGGGGAUAACGUAGUGAAAAUUACGCUAAUACCGCAUACGAUCUAUGGAUGAAAGCGGGGGAUCGCAAGACCUCGCGCGAUUGGAGCGGCCGAUAUCAGAUUAGGUAGUUGGUGAGGUAAGGGCUCACCAAGCCGACGAUAUGUAGCUGGUCUGAGAGGACGACCAGCCGCACUGGAGCUGAGACACGGUCCAGACUCCUACGGGAGGCAGCAGUGGGGAAUUUUGGACAAUGGACGCAAGUCUGAUCCAGCCAUUCCGCGUGCAGGACGAAGGCCUUCGGGUUGUAAACUGCUUUUGUACAGAACGAAAAGGUCUCUAUUAAUACUAGGGGCUCAUGACGGUACUGUAAGAAUAAGCACCGGCUAACUACGUGCCAGCCGCCGCGGUAACAC